rnacentral:rRNA from 1 species
AUUGAACGCUGGCGGCGGGCUUAACACAUGCAAGUCGAACGAGUGGCGGACGGGUGAGUAAUGCUUGGGAAUCUGCCUUAUGGAGGGGGCUACCGACGGGAAACUGUCGCUAAUACCGCGUACCUUAGGAUUAGCCCAAGUUGGAUUAGGUAGUUGGUGGGGUAAUGGCCUACCAAGCACACGAUCCCUAGCUGGUCUGAGAGGAUGACCAGCCACACGGGGACUGAGACACGGCCCGGACUCCUACGGGAGGCAGCAGUGGGGAAUAUUGCGCAAUGGGGGCAACCUGACGCAGCCAUGCCGCGUGAAUGAAGAAGGCCUUCGGGUUGUAAAGUUCUUUCGGUGACGAGGCGUUAAUCACAGAAGAAGCACCGGCUAACUCCGUGCCAGCAGCCGCGGUAAUAC